rnacentral:rRNA from 1 species
AGAGUUUGAUCAUGGCUCAGGAUGAACGCUAGCGGGAGGCCUAACACAUGCAAGCCGAGCGGUUAUUGUUUUUCGGAAAUGAGAGAGCGGCGUACGGGUGCGGAACACGUGUGCAACCUGCCUUUAUCUGGGGGAUAGCCUUUCGAAAGGAAGAUUAAUACUCCAUAAUAUAUUGAACGGCAUCGUUUAAUAUUGAAAGCUCCGGCGGAUAGAGAUGGGCACGCGCAAGAUUAGCUAGUUGGUGAGGUAACGGCUCACCAAGGCGAUGAUCUUUAGGGGCCUGAGAGGGUGAUCCCCCACACUGGUACUGAGACACGGACCAGACUCCUACGGGAGGCAGCAGUGAGGAAUAUUGGUCAAUGGGUGCAAGCCUGAACCAGCCAUCCCGCGUGAAGGACGACUGCCCUAUGGGUUGUAAACUUCUUUUGUAUAGGGAUAAACCUACCCUCGUGAGGGUAGCUGAAGGUACUAUACGAAUAAGCACCGGCUAACUCCGUG